GCCGUUUUAGUCCAAGAGGUGUUUUGAAGGCUACAUGACAGACAGAACACUGGUGAGGUUUCUCAUCACUGUGGGUCAUCAUGUGUGUUUUUAGGGUACCUGAUCUUUUGAAAGCUACAUGACAUAAAGUACACUGGAGUUCUGCAUAUAGCAACACUCAUUUCUUGACAAUUCCCAUCAAUGUUCUUCUGCCACAUUGCAUGCUGACCAGGCCAACCUGUCUCAGUCUUCACCAUACAUGACAGUUAUAUUCAGAUGACAAGAUAAGAUUUCAUAAAGGAACCAACUGCAGAUUCAUUAAACAACAGAAAGUGAAUUUUGUAAUGGCAGUAUGUGAAUAGGCA